rnacentral:lncRNA from 1 species
GUUUACGCCCUUAAUACAUAUCAUAUUGUCCAGGAAUAACUUUUUACUGCUCCUUCUCUUACAAACUUCGGCAACUUUCGUUUAACAUAAAAUUGCGGGCCAAAAGCAAACACAGUUGGCUAAUGUAUUGCCUCCGGGUCGCAAAGCCCGCCAGCUGACCAUUGGAUAUUGGCCAGACCCCAAAUUUUACCACACUCUCGGCCCCAAGUAGUUGCAACUUUUAAUUGCGCUCACGGAUUUACUGGCAGCAUUCUGGACAAGACCAAGACAAUGGACAAAGCUGAAGCCCCCGGCUCAACUUCAACCCUAACUUCGACUGCGCGUAGACAAAACUACUAAAUGUCAAAAGUGUCAAAAUUUUCUUAGAAUUAUGUCUAGCGAACAUCAAAAGUUGCCCGGG